rnacentral:rRNA from 1 species
GAUGAACGCUGGCGGCGUGCCUAAUACAUGCCAGUCGAGCGAACAGACGAGGAGCUUGCUCCUCUGACGUUAGCGGCGGACGGGUGAGUAACACGUGGAUAACCUACCUAUAAGACUGGGAUAACUUCGGGAAACCGGAGCUAAUACCGGAUAACAUGUUGAACCGCAUGGUUCAACAGUGAAAGACGGUCUUGCUGUCACUUAUAGAUGGAUCCGCGCCGCAUCAGCUAGUUGGUAAGGUAACGGCUUACCAAGGCAACGAUGCGUAGCCGACCUGAGAGGGUGAUCGGCCACACUGGAACUGAGACACGGUCCAGACUCCUACGGGAGGCAGCAGUAGGGAAUCUUCCGCAAUGGGCGAAAGCCUGACGGAGCAACGCCGCGUGAGUGAAGAAGGUCUUCGGAUCGUAAAACUCUGUUAUUAGGGAAGAACAAAUGUGUAAGUAACUAUGCACGUCUUGACGGUACCUAAUCAGAAAGCCACGGCUAACUACGUG